GGAUGUGAGGGCGAUCCUGUUGCAACAUCUGUCACCCCAUUGAUCACCAGGGUUGAUUCGGCUGAUCUGGCUGGCUAGGCGGUGUCCCCUUCCUCCCUUACCUCCAUGUGCGUCCCUCCCGAAGCUGCGCACUAGGUCGAAGAGGACGACCAUCCCCGAUAGAGGAAGACCGGUCUUCUGUCAAGGGUAUACGAGUAGCUGCGCUCCCCUGCUAGAACCUCCAAACAAGCUCUCAAGGUCACAGCGUGAUCUUUCAGGAUUUAAAAUAGCUCAACUGAAAUUCCAUCACCUCCACUAGUUUUGUUCAUAGU
rnacentral:snRNA from 2 species